rnacentral:rRNA from 1 species
UACAGAGGGGGCAAGCGUUAUUCGGAAUUAUUGGGCGUAAAGGGCGCGUAGGCGGCGUGGCAAGGGGAAGGUGAAAUCCCUCGGCUUAACCGAGGAACUGCCCUCCAAACUGCUUUGCUUGAGGCCGGGAGAGGCGAGUGGAAUUCCCAGUGUAGCGGUGAAAUGCGUAGAUAUUGGGAGGAACACCAGUGGCGAAGGCGGCUCGCUGGACCGGUUCUGACGCUGAGGCGCGAAAGCGUGGGGAGCAAACGGG